UUAUUUCAGAACCCAAAGAACAUAGAACCAUAAUCAAUGUAAAUAAACAAUGCUUGAAUACUUUGAGAUAACAACUCACAAUUCAAAACUGAACCAGGAAAGAAAGAAAGAAUCAGGCAAUGCUUUAAAACAAACAUAGAUUUUAUUGAAGACGACAAAUUGAAUCACAUCAUAACAUAUAACAUAAAUGUAAAACCAAACGGAAAAUGUGUUGCUGCAGAUCGAUCCAAGUUAAACGCAAGGGUCACCGCUCAUCACCAGUUUCUAUUGCCACAACCGUUUGCUUUACAGGGGCUCUAUCAACCGACAAUACAAGAUGCCGACGCUUCGUCCCUGUCACGUUGGCCUUCCUCGGAGUGCAUUCCGCAUCUGUGUUCCACUAUUUCAAUAUGCUAGUUCUAUUUGUCGACGAUGAAGGUCCGCGUUUUGACGGAGACGAGUAAGGAAAUAGAUCGCGAUUGAGAUGGCGGAGAGGGUUGACGAACGGAGAGUGGAGCUGGUGAUUGUUUAUGGAUGAUUCGGCGGUGAUUGUAGAUCUGGCCGAGGGUUAUUAGGAUAAUGAUGAUGGAAGUGGGUUAAGAGGAUUCGUCGGCGAGGCGGAGGGUUAAAGGUUUAGCGGUGGUUGAAGAUUUAUGUGGUGGUCGACUAGAUCAGUGGUGGAUUUGUGAACGGAAGAUGGAGGAUGAUGGAGGGUGAAUGACGGUGGUUCCUGGGGUUCGUCGGCGGAUUGCGCUUUGUUUUUUGUUGUUGGUGAGCGGUGGAAUCGAAGCUUGGAGUGAGUGGAAUGGGGUUUUCCGGCAAGAUCGGUGGUAGUUGAGUUUAGCGAUGGAGGUGUCGUGUGGGUUAACGGCAAUGGAGGUUGUGCAUUUGAAGAUGGGUUGAGAUGGUGGUAAAUGGUGGUGGUUAUGAGAGAGGAAGAAGGAUUUUUAUUUGUUUUAUCUUUUUCAGAGAGAGAGAGAUGAGAUUUGUGAGGAAUUGAAAGAGUGGAGGUAGCGUGAGGGAGUUUGAGAAUUCUGUUGUGAGAUUCUCUUAUUAGAGUGUGAGGAGUUUGUUAGAGGGCGCGUGGGGAGAGUGAAGAAAGAUUUUUAUUAUUAUAUUUUCUUUACUAAAUAAUCUAGAAAGAUCCUUUUAGUGGCAGUUGGGAAUGGAAGAGCUGUCAACUUGCAAGACAAAAAGAAUCCAAUGCUAUCUAUAUACAUUUAUUUGAAAUCUGAAAAUUAUAAAGUAUUUAACAAUUAUAUUAAAAAUAGAAUCAAUUCACCAAAAUAAAUUCAAACUAAUUACGUAAUAAAUUCUAAUUUAUUCCAAUGAUAUCUUGAUUAAGAAAAUAAAAGUCGGGAACAAAUAUUCUCGAAAAAUUAAAUUGGACAAGCUAAAAUGAUCAGCACAAAAUAUAUUUAUUGAAAAAAUACAGCGUUUUCUUCAAAUUUUAAUGAUUCAACCGAUUUGUCUGUAUUCUCAAAUAAAUUCAUUCUGACUGACAUUUUAGGUACUAUUCAUGAUGGAAUGUAUGUCAUGCUAUGCAUAUGAUGCAAAAAUAAAAAUGAAAUCAAUUCUGUGAAAAUUUAAAUAUGCCCGGACAAAAUUGGGGUAUGACAGUCCCUACCCUGCAACAAGUAAAGUCUUGGUUGGGGAAAUGCUUUUCUAUGAAGGACCUAGGUGAAGCAGCCUAUAUUUUAGGAAUUAAAAUCUAUAGAGAUAGAUCACAAAAACUGCUUGGCCUAAGUCAGAGUACAUACAUAGACAAAGUGCUGAGACGCUUUAAUAUGCAUGAUUCCAAGAAAGGAUUCAUACCUAUGCAACAUGGCCUGUGUCUAUCAAAAACACAAUCCCCUUCAACUAAGGAAGAAAGGGAUCGCAUGAAUAAGAUUCCAUAUGCAUCUGCAAUAGGAUCUAUCAUAUAUGCCAUGUUAUGUACUCGACCAGAUGUCUCGUAUGCUUUAAGUGCAACGAGUAGGUACCAAUCUGAUCGUGGUGAUGCCCAUUGGCUAGCUGUCAAGAAUAUCCUUAAUUACUUGAGAAGGACUAAGGACUCAUUCUUGAUAUAUGGAGGUCAGGAAGAGUUAGCUGUAUUUGGAUACACUCAUUCUAGCUUCCAGACAGAUAAGGAUGACUUUAGAUCACAAUCUAGUUAUGUGUUUUGCUUAAACGGUGGCGAUGUGAGCUGGAAAAGUUCAAAGCAAGAUACAGUUGUUGAUUCUACAAUCGAGGCCGAGUAUAUUGUUUCCUCAAGUGAAGCAAAGGAAGUUGUUUGGAUCGAAAAGUUCAUUAGUGAACUUGAAAUAGUUCCUAGCAUUGUGGGUCCCAUUGGUCUCUAUUGUGAUAACAAUGGUGCUACCGCACAAGCUAAGGAGCCUAGAUCUCACCAACGAUCCAAAUACAUACUCAGGCGUUAUCACCUCAUUCGAGAGAUAAUAGAUAGAGGAGAUGUGAAAAUAUGUAGAGUACCUACACUUGACAAUAUUGCUGACCCACUGACAAAGCCUCUUGCGCAGCAGCCAUACUAGAUCAAUGGCAUUAGGGGUAUGCCUGAUUGGCUCUUAGUGCUAGUGGGAGAUUGUUGGUGUAGCCUAGAGGCAAUACUUUUGGUACUUGUAUCGAAUAUUUAUUAAUUAAUAAAAGGCUUUUUCUUUAUUAUGUUUGAUUAAUAAAGUCCCUAGAAUAGCUAGUCCGUUUAAUGUAUCAAGUAUGACUUAAUCAUGAGAUCACAUUAAACAUAAGGACAUUAUUCUAUCCGUAGUCGAGCUUUAUUGUGAAGUGGGAUAACAUUAAAGCAUUAAGACUAUUAUGUUUGUAGAUCGAUGAUCACAUCUCAUGGAUCAUGGAUAAAGAGUUAUCAAGUCUUAAACAUAGGUAUGAAUAUUAAGAGUAAUAUUUAUACCACAUUGACCCGCUAUGAGAAUACUAUAUAGAAAGUUAUGCAAAGUUUCAUAAGUUACUCUCAUGGUGAUAAUGGUGUAUACCACUCUUCAACCUGAAACCACUAUGGAUCCUAGAUGUAGAGUCGAGUGCUUUAUUGCUGAUCCAACGUUGUCCGUAAUUGGAUAACCAUAAAGACAGUUGAUGGGUAUUCCACGAAGCAUGGUGAGGGACAUGAGUGACCUAGAUGGAAUUUGCCCAUCCUACGUAACAGGAUAAAUGUCUACGGGCCCAAUAUUGAACUGGACAAGGAUGACACGGUCUAUACCUUGUGUUCAAUAUAGACAUAAGGGCAAAGGGGUAAUUAUAUACAUAAUUAUUAUCACAGGAGGUUUUGUCAGAUCACAUGACAUUGUAGCAGAGAUGUUGUGGC
rnacentral:lncRNA from 1 species